rnacentral:rRNA from 1 species
UCCAGUCGAUGCUGCUGGAGGGUACUGCUAUCAGGUUUCGACAGCCAUGCAAGUUUGCUCUACGGCUUCGUAGGGCGGCGUACGGCUCAGUAACACGUGGCUAAUCUACCGUAAAGAGGGGGAUACCCUUGGGAAACUGAGGUUAAUAUCCCAUAUGCUAGGGAGUCUGGAAGGAACCCUAACAGAAAAGGUACGCAAAUUGCAGCGCUACCGCUUUACGAUGAGGCUGCGGCGGAUCAGGCAGAUGGCGGGGUAACGGCCCACCAUACCGAUAACCCGUAGGGGAUGUGAGAGCAUGAGCCCCGAGAAGGGCACUGAGACAAGGGCCCUAGCGCUACGGCGUGCAGCAGGCGCGCAAACUCCACAAUGCGCGAAAGCGUGAUGGGGGGAACCUGAGUGGCUGACUAACGUCAGCCUUUUGCCAAGUUUAGCAAGCUUGGAGAAUAAGUGCUGGGCAAGACCGGUGGCAGCCGCCACGGUAAUACCGGCAGCACAAGUGGUAUCCACGAUUAUUGGGCUUAAAGCGCCCGUAGCUGGCUGAUGCCGUCUCAUGUGAAAUAUUGGCGCUCAACGUCAAUGCGCGCACGAGAUACCCAUCGGCUAGGGAGUGGGUUGGGUCAGGAGUACUUAUGGGGGAGGGGCUAAAUCCUAUAAUCCUAUAAGGACUAACGGUGGCGAAGGCGCCUGACCAGAACACAUCCGACAGUGAGGGACGAAGGCUAGGAGAACGAAUCGGAUCAGAUACCCGAGUAGCCCUAGCAGUAAAUUAUGCAGACUCUGGUGUUGCAUACAUCUCGAAUGUAUGCAGUACCGUAGCGUAAGCGUUAAGUCUGCCGCCUGGGGAGUACGGCCGCAAGGUUGAAACUUAAAACAAUUGGCGGGGGAGCACACAAGGGGUGGAUGCUGCGGUUUAAUUGAACCCAACGUCGGAAAUAUUACCAGAAGCGACGGCAGUGUGAAGGUCAGACUAAAGAUCUUACCUGACAAGCCGAGAGGUAGUGCAUGGCGAUCGUCAGCUCGUGGUGUAAACUGUUCGGUUAAGUCCGGUAAGCGGACGAGUGAUGCGAUGACAAGAAAGCUAAAGCUGGAUCCAGACACCUGCUACAUGCUUGGUAUGUACAGCUGUAGCAUGCGCUCUCCGAUUUCCAUAACGACAACCAAUGAUGAGGUAGUUAAGAAAUUUGCCGGAAUCGCAUUGAAGCUUGGCGUAGAGCCAAACAAGAUGCGCAUAGAAAGCGGCAAGGAAGGCCUCAUAAAGGCGUUCUUCUACCAUUCAAAGCUCGAGAAGAUGUUCAGGAGCACGCUUGAAAGGAGAAGCAUAGUCUUCUCGCAUAAAAACGCGCGUGCACUGAGCUACAUUGCUGGAAUUUUUGACAGCAAUGGAGGCAAAGACCGUUUUGGUCUUUACAUAAAAGGGCUUGAUCCCGCUAACGCGGUGAUAAUGGAGAACCUUGGUUUUCACGUAUGGG